rnacentral:rRNA from 1 species
UGGGGAAUUUUGGACAAUGGGGGAAACCCUGAUCCAGCCAUCCCGCGUGUGCGAUGAAGGCCUGCGGGUUGUAAAGCACUGUUGGCAGGAAAGAAACGUCAUGGGUUAAUACCCCGUGAAACUGACGGUACCUGCAGAAUAAGCACCGGCUAACUACGUGCCAGCAGCCGCGGUAAUACGUAGGGUGCAAGCGUUAAUCGGAAUUACUGGGCGUAAAGCGUGCGCAGGCGGUUCGGAAAGAAAGAUGUGAAAUCCCAGAGCUCAACUUUGGAACUGCAUUUUUAACUACCGGGCUAGAGUGUGUCAGAGGGAGGUGGAAUUCCGCGUGUAGCAGUGAAAUGCGUAGAUAUGCGGAGGAACACCGAUGGCGAAGGCAGCCUCCUGGGAUAACACUGACGCUCAUGCACGAAAGCGUGGGGAGCAAACAGG